GUUUACUUUCAGAGUCCACAAACAACCCGCUGCGUCAUGGUUCUUCCUGGGCUUCAGGUUUGGAGAUGGAUACUCUUUGCCUGCAUUCACUGGCGUUGUGUCUGUCAAGAGACUCCAAGACCGGUUUACAUGGUAGCCGUUCCUGCAGUGAUCCAGGCAGGCUCAGAGGCCAAGCUUUGUGCCAGCCUUCUGCAGCCCAACGAGACCCUGGUCAUGACCGUAUCUCUGAUGGCCGACGGGCAGAACAAGAGACUUCUCCACCAGAGUUCUGACCAAGAGUUUCACCGCUGUUUCCAGUUUCAGGCGCCUAGUGUGAAGAGCGACGAAGUGCAGAACUUUAAGGUGGAGGUUCGAGGAGAAACAUUCCUAUCAACAGAGGAGAGAAGGGUCAUGAUCAAACCCUACAGCCCCAUGACGUUCAUCCAAACGGACAAACCAAUCUACAACCCAGGACAAACGGUGCUUUUUAGAGUCGUCACCUUGGAUACCCAUUUUAGCCCCGUCAAUCAGCUGUACAACAUUGUGGAACUUGAGGAUGUUAAUCACAACCGGAUUGGACAGUGGUUAACACUACAUCCAGUGGCAACAUUCUGCAGCUUUCUCACCCCUGAACUCUGAAGCACCUGUAGGAUCCUAUACCAUUGUAGUGUGGAUUGGUGAAGAGAAAAUCUACCACAACUUCAAGGUAGAACAGUAUGUUUUGCCCAAGUUUGAGAUCAAAAUGAACCUCACUGACAAGAUCAGCGUUGUUCAAGAAGAGUAUGAAGUGAAAGUGUGUGCAGAAUACACGUAUGGGCAGCCUGUACCUGGUAAAGCAGGGUCAAGUUGUGCCGACCUUUGGUGGACAAUGCAGUGAUACCAAUAACAAUUGAUGAGCGAAAUCCACAAGGGAGUUCCUGAUUACACACCUCCAUGCCACAAAGAGUCAAUAGAGAUGGACCAUACUGGCUGUGCUUCUUGUGUCUUCAACAUGGCACUUUUCACAAAGAAUGCAGGAGAGAAAUUGCUUGGAGACGUGUUUAGUUUCCAUGCAGAAGUACAGGAGGAGGGGACAGGUAUUACACUGUCUGAGGAAAAAAAUGUAGAACUGUCCUAUGUGAUUGGAGAAUUCACAUUUGUUGACACGCCCCAAAUCUAUGAGCAUGGAUCAAUUAUCGAAGGCAAGAUAAAUGCUGUUGGAUAUAACAACACACCCAUCUCUGACAUGUUAGUCUACCUGUUCGAGGAGAAAGGCUGGUCCUCAUAUCUACGACUACAGAACCUAACCACGGACAGUCGUGGUAUUGCCAGGUUCUCCGUCAACACAACCAGUCUGCCCAAAGAGAAUAUUAACCUCGUAGUGAGCGACACCCCACAAGUGGAGUACCCAGGAUACAGGGUCCCCUAUUUCAACAGAGGGCAACACCUACUCUCGCUGAUCCAGCCCGCUGACAUUAAACCGUCCAGCUCCCCUGGCUAUUCAGAAGGUGGAGAAACCACUGGCGUGUGGGCCUUGUCCAGAGGGGUCAUAGUUCAAAGCAUGACACACAUCAAUGUUACUGUGCAGCAGGACAGUCCUGUCCCAGAGAUGGCGCCGGUGGUUCAGCUCCUGGUGUACAGUAUGCUCCCAGUGUCGGUGGAGUUCUCCUCCAACGCUGUCCCAGGAGGAGAACACCCUGCAUCUUCCUCGGCCCGGCCCGGUUCCCUCUGUGGCCUCGGUGCUGUUGACCAGAGUGUUGGCGUCAUGGAGCCAGGGAAGAGGCUGGAUGCUGACAAGAUAUUUGAUUUGUUACCGGUCAAGGAGACGACCUAUAUUCCCUACGAGCUUGAAGAUCCGUUACCAGGGAACCAGUACUAUCGCUCCUAUGAGUCUGGAUCUCUAGAUGUCCCACCCCCUGAUCUGAACCACCACAUCACCUGGGAGACUGAGGAGUCUUCUCCCUGGCCCCCAGUGGCUUCGGUCCUGGCUCCUCUGGUGGAGCUCACGGUCUUCAGCCUUCAUGCUGGAGCUCACCCUGCCCUACUCAGUCAUCCGGGGAGAGCACUUUGAGCUGAAGGCCACUGUGUUUAACUACCUCUCCAAGUGCAUCAUGGUUUCUGUGACUCCAGCUCUUUCCUCAGACUACACUCUCACACCCUUGCGUGAUGUCCAGGACUCCUCGUGCUUGUGUGCCAAUGGACGAAAGACCUUCAGUUGGACAAUGGCCCCCUCUGUCCUGGGGGUUUUGAACGUGUCUGUUAGUGCGGAGGCUGUCCAGUCCCAGACUGCGUGUGACAAUGGGGUUGUGAACGUACCGGAGAGAGGACGCGUUGACACAGUCACACGGAGCCUGCUGGUGAAGGCUGAGGGAACAGAGAAGAGCCACACCUACAACUGGUUGCUGUGUCCUACUGGAGAAGCUCUGACGGAGGAGGGGUGGAACUGCAACUUCCCAGAAUGUGGUGGCUGGCUCUGCUAGGAUUUCCCCUCUCAGUUCUGUGGAGGACAUCUGGGUCGGACCUCAACAACCUGGAUGGACUGUUGCAGAUGCCGUAUGUAGUAGAGCAGAAUAUGGCCCUGCUCUCCCCCAAUAUCUACAUCCUGGAGUACCUGAGGAACACAGAGCAGCUCACGCCAGCCAUCCUAGAAAAGGCCACCGCGUUGAUGUCGGCAGGUUACCAAAGGCAGCUGAACUACAGAAUGCCGGCCGGUGCGUGCACAGCUGCGUUGGACAAGGCUUGGGAACACCUGGCUGACUGCUUUUGUCUUGAGAUCCUUUGGCAAAGCCCAGUCUUUCAUCUAUGUUGACCCGGCAACGAUGGAGCAAUCCAAGACUUGGUUGGAACGUCUAACAAGGCCAACAUGGCUGUUUCAGAACUUCCCAGGAAGCUCUUGAACAACCGAAUGAAGGUGGAGUGACGGAUGAAGUCACACUGACUUACAUCACUGCUUCAAUGCUGGAGCUCAACAUGUCCGUGGCGGAUCCUGUUGUGGACCGGCUUGUCUUGCCCUGAAGAACUCCACCAGUGAUUUGUCCAACACCUACGCUACUGCUCUGCUGCCUACACCUUCACCCUGGCGGGUGACAUGGAGACACGGGCCCGGCUUCUGCAGCACCUCGACACCAUCUCAUUUCAAGAGGGGGGUCUCCUGCACUGGUCCCAGUCUCCUCGGAGACCUCACCACUCCCUGGAGGUGGAGAUCAGCUCUACGUUCUGCUGGCGUCCUCAGUUGCCUCUUCUCCGGUCGACCUCUGACCUGGGCUACGCCUCCCGCAUCGUCAGGUGGCUGGUGAGACAGCAGAAGCGCCUACGGAGGCUUCUCUUCCACCCAGGACACGGUGGUGGCCCUCCAGGCCCUGGCUCUCUACUCCACCAGGGUGUUCAGUAGAGGAGGAGCCAGCACGGUGACGGUAAGGUCUCCCAGUGGGGACCGGUGCCUCUUCCAUGUGAACCAAAACAACAAGCUUCUGUAUCAGGAGAGGGUGCUGCAGGACACAGAAGGGAAGUACAGCGUUGAAGUGCAGGGCAGUGCUUGUGCCUCAGUGCAGGUGGUGCUCCGCUACAACGUCCCUACUCCUACCAGAAGCACAACGCUCAGUAUCCAGGUGACUCCAGAGAUGGACUGCAACAGGAAGUCUUUGAGACCCAGAGUCACGCUGAAGCUCCAGUCUCUAUAUCAUGGAAAGGAGCUCACCACCAAUAUGAUUAUAGUGGAUUUGAAAAUGCUCUCUGGGUUUUCUCCAGAUCCAGACUCUUUGGGGAGGCUGAGGGGUUCAAGUCAAGUGGAUCGUGUUGAUAUCAAAGAUGACCAUGUGUUAAUGUACUUGACAGAGCUGAUAUCACUACUUCCUUUCCGCAUCACCCUGGACAUCAUACAGGAGCUCCCAGUACAGAAUCUAAAGCCAGCAGUGGUCAAGAUCUAUGACUACUACCAGCCAAGUGACCAGGCUGAGACAGAAUACGUCUUCCCUUGCAACUAGGGGUUCCAAACUGAUGGAAGAAGAUGUCACACCUGCAACCCUUGAGACGUCUUUCAAAAACUAUGGAUCUGGAAAUAAAGUGUUUGAUUAGAA